GACGGAGGAUGCAAGCGUUAUCCGGAAUGAUUGGGCGUAAAGCGUCUGCAGGUGGCAGUUCAAGUCUGCUGUCAAAGACCGGGGCUUAACUUCGGAAAGGCAGUGGAAACUGAACAGCUAGAGUAUGGUAGGGGCAGAGGGAAUUCCUGGUGUAGCGGUUAAAUGCGUAGAGAUCAGGAAGAACAUCGGUGGCGAAGGCGCUCUGCUGGACCAUAACUGACACUCAGGGACGAAAGCUAGGGGAGCGAAUGGG
rnacentral:rRNA from 1 species